rnacentral:rRNA from 1 species
GCCAGACUCCUACGGGAGGCAGCAGUGGGGAAUAUUGCACAAUGGGGGAAACCCUGAUGCAGCGACGCCGCGUGAGUGAAGAAGCGCCUCGGCGCGUAAAGCUCUGUCAGCAGGAACGACGAUGACGGUACCUGAAGAAGAAGCCCCGGCUAACUACGUGCCAGCAGCCGCGGUAAUACGUAGGGGGCAAGCGUUAUCCGGAAUUACUGGGUGUAAAGGGUGAGUAGGCGGCAUGGUAAGCCAGGUGUGAAAGCCUUGGGCUUAACCCGAGGAUUGCAUUUGGAACUAUCAAGCUAGAGUACAGGAGAGGAAAGCGGAAUUCCUAGUGUAGCGGUGAAAUGCGUAGAUAUUAGGAAGAACACCAGUGGCGAAGGCGGCUUUCUGGACUGAAACUGACGCUGAGGCACGAAAGCGUGGGGAGCGAACAGGAUUAGAUACCCGCGUA